CCUUUUGUAUAAUGGGUCAGCGACUUAUAUUCUGUAGCAAGGUUAACCGAAUAGGGGAGCCGAAGGGAAACCGAGUCUUAACUGGGCGUUAAGUUGCAGGGUAUAGACCCGAAACCCGGUGAUCUAGCCAUGGGCAGGUUGAAGGUUGGGUAACACUAACUGGAGGACCGAACCGACUAAUGUUGAAAAAUUAGCGGAUGACUUGUGGCUGGGGGUGAAAGGCCAAUCAAACCGGGAGAUAGCUGGUUCUCCCCGAAAGCUAUUUAGGUAGCGCCUCGUGAAUUCAUCUCCGGGGGUAGAGCACUGUUUCGGCAAGGGGGUCAUCCCGACUUACCAACCCGAUGCAAACUGCGAAUACCGGAGAAUGUUAUCACGGGAGACACACGGCGGGUGCUAACGUCCGUCGUGAAGAGGGAAACAACCCAGACCGCCAGCUAAGGUCCCAAAGUCAUGGUUAAGUGGGAAACGAUGUGGGAAGGCCCAGACAGCCAGGAUGUUGGCUUAGAAGCAGCCAUCAUUUAAAGAAAGCGUAAUAGCUCACUGGUCGAGUCGGCCUGCGCGGAAGAUGUAACGGGGCUAAACCAUGCACCGAAGCUGCGGCAGCGACGCUUAUGCGUUGUUGGGUAGGGGAGCGUUCUGUAAGCCUGCGAAGGUGUGCUGUGAGGCAUGCUGGAGGUAUCAGAAGUGCGAAUGCUGACAUAAGUAACGAUAAAGCGGGUGAAAAGCCCGCUCGCCGGAAGACCAAGGGUUCCUGUCCAACGUUAAUCGGGGCAGGGUGAGUCGACCCCUAAGGCGAGGCCGAAAGGCGUAGUCGAUGGGAAACAGGUUAAUAUUCCUGUACUUGGUGUUACUGCGAAGGGGGGACGGAGAAGGCUAUGUUGGCCGGGCGACGGUUGUCCCGGUUUAAGCGUGUAGGCUGGUUUUCCAGGCAAAUCCGGAAAAUCAAGGCUGAGGCGUGAUGACGAGGCACUACGGUGCUGAAGCAACAAAUGCCCUGCUUCCAGGAAAAGCCUCUAAGCAUCAGGUAACAUCAAAUCGUACCCCAAACCGACACAGGUGGUCAGGUAGAGAAUACCAAGGCGCUUGAGAGAACUCGGGUGAAGGAACUAGGCAAAAUGGUGCCGUAACUUCGGGAGAAGGCACGCUGAUAUGUAGGUGA
rnacentral:rRNA from 1 species